rnacentral:rRNA from 1 species
GACGAACGCUGGCGGCGUGCUUAACACAUGCAAGUCGAGCGGUAAGGCUCCUUCGGGAGUACACGAGCGGCGAACGGGUGAGUAACACGUGAGUAAUCUGCCCUCCACUUUGGGAUAAGCCUCGGAAACGAGGUCUAAUACCGAAUACGACCACUUCCUGCAUGGGAUGGUGGUGGAAAGUUUUUUCGGUGGGGGAUGUGCCCGCGGCCUAUCAGCUUGUUGGUGGGGUAAUGGCCUACCAAGGCUUCGACGGGUAGCCGGCCUGAGAGGGUGACCGGCCACACUGGGACUGAGACACGGCCCAGACUCCUACGGGAGGCAGCAGUGGGGAAUAUUGGACAAUGGGCGGAAGCCUGAUCCAGCAACGCCGCGUGAGGGAUGACGGCCUUCGGGUUGUAAACCUCUUUCAGCGGGGACGAAGCGCAAGUGACGGUACCCGCAGAAGAAGCACCGGCCAACUACGUGCCAGCCGCCGCGGUAAAAC